rnacentral:rRNA from 1 species
GACGAACGCUGGCGGCGUGCCUAAUACAUGCAAGUAGAACGCACAGUUUAUACCGUAGCUUGCUACACCAUAGACUGUGAGUUGCGAACGGGUGAGUAACGCGUAGGUAACCUGCCUGGUAGCGUGGGAUAACUAUUGGAAACGAUAGCUAAUACCGCAUAAUAUUAAUUAUUGCAUGAUAAUUAAUUGAAAGGUGCAAUUGCACCACUACCAUAUGGACCUGCGUUGUAUUAGCUAGUAGGUGAGGUAACGGCUCACCUAGGCGACGAUACAUAGCCGACCUGAGAGGGUGAUCGGCCACACUGGGACUGAGACACGGCCCAGACUCCUACGGGAGGCAGCAGUAGGGAAUCUUCGGCAAUGGACGAAAGUCUGACCGAGCAACGCCGCGUGAGUGAAGAAGGUUGUCGGAUCGUAAAGCUCUGUUGUAAGAGAAGGACGGGUGUGAGAGUGGAAAGUUCACACUGUGACGGUAUCUUACCAGAAAGGGACGGCUAACUACGUG